rnacentral:rRNA from 1 species
AGAGUUUGAUCCUGGCUCAGAUUGAACGCUGGCGGCAUGCCUUACACAUGCAAGUCGAACGGCAGCACGGGGGCAACCCUGGUGGUAGUGGCGAACGGGUGAGUAAUACAUCGGAACGUACCUGGAAGUGGGGGAUAACGUAGCGAAAGUUACGCUAAUACCGCAUAUUCUGUGAGCAGGAAAGCAGGGGACCGCAAGGCCUCGCGCUUUUGGAGCGGCCGAUGUCGGAUUAGCUGGUUGGUGGGGUAAAGGCCUACCAAGGCGACGAUCCGUAGCGGGUCUGAGAGGAUGAUCCGCCACACUGGGACUGAGACACGGCCCAGACUCCUACGAGGCAGCAGUGGGGAAUUUUGGACAAUGGGCGCAAGCCUGAUCCAGCCAUGCCGCGAGAGUGAAGAAGGCCUUCGGGUUGUAAAGCUCUUUCGGUGGGGAAGAAAUCGCAUUCUUUAAUAGAGGGUGUGGAUGACGGUACCCACAUAAGAAGCACCGGCUAACUACGUGCCAGCAGCCGCGGUAAUACGUAGGGUGCGAGCGUUAAUCGGAAUUACUGGGCGUAAAGCGUGCGCAGGCGGUUGUGUAAGUCAGAUGUGAAAUCCCCGGGCUCAACCUGGGAACUGCAUUUGAGACUGCACGGCUAGAGUGUGGCAGAGGGGGGUGGAAUUCCACGUGUAGCAGUGAAAUGCGUAGAGAUGUGGAGGAACACCGAUGGCGAAGGCAGCCCCCUGGGCCAAGACUGACGCUCAUGCACGAAAGCGUGGGGAGCAAACAGGAUUAGAUACCCUGGUAGUCCACGCCCUAAACGAUGUCUACUAGAUGUUGGAAGGGUUAAACCUUUUAGUGUCGCAGCUAACGCGUGAAGUUGACCGCCUGGGGAGUACGGCCGCAAGGCUAAAACUCAAAGGAAUUGACGGGGACCCGCACAAGCGGUGGAUGAUGUGGAUUAAUUCGAUGCAACGCGAAAAACCUUACCUACCCUUGACAUGUCAGGAACCCUGGAGAGAUCUGGGGGUGCCCGAAAGGGAGCCUGAACACAGGUGCUGCAUGGCUGUCGUCAGCUCGUGUCGUGAGAUGUUGGGUUAAGUCCCGCAACGAGCGCAACCCUUGUCGUUAAUUGCCAUCAUCGAGUUGGGCACUUUAAUGAGACUGCCGGUGACAAACCGGAGGAGGGUGGGGAUGACGUCAAGUCCUCAUGGCCCUUAUGGGUAGGGCCUCACACGUCAUACAAUGGUCGGUUCAGAGGGUUGCCAAGCCGCGAGGCGGAGCUAAUCUCAGAAAGCCGAUCGUAGUCCGGAUUGCAGUCUGCAACUCGACUGCAUGAAGUCGGAAUCGCUAGUAAUCGCGGAUCAGCAUGCCGCGGUGAAUACGUUCCCGGGUCUUGUACACACCGCCCGUCACACCAUGGGAGCGGGUUCUGCCAGAAGUAGUUAGCCUAACCGUGAGGAGGGCGAUUACCACGGCAGGGUUCGUGACUGGGGUGAAGUCGAAACAAGGUA